UACGUAGGGAGCAAGCGUUGUCCGGAAUCAUUGGGCGUAAAGCGCGCGUAGGCGGCCCGAUAAGUCCGCUGUGAAAGUCAACGGCUCAACUGUUGGAUGCCGGUGGAUACUGUCGGGCUAGAGUGCGGAAGAGGCGAGUGGAAUUCCUGGUGUAGCGGUGAAAUGCGCAGAUAUCAGGAGGAACACCGAUUGCGAAGGCAGCUCGCUGGGACGUCACUGACGCUGAGACGCGAAAGCGUGGGGAGCAAACAGG
rnacentral:rRNA from 1 species